rnacentral:rRNA from 1 species
AGUGAACGCUGGCGGUAGGCCCAACACAUGCAAGUCGAACGGCAGCACAGUAAGAGCUUGCUCUUACGGGUGGCGAGUGGCGGACGGGUGAGGAAUACAUCGGAAUCUACUUUUUCGUGGGGGAUAACGUAGGGAAACUUACGCUAAUACCGCAUACGACCUACGGGUGAAAGCAGGGGAUCUUCGGACCUUGCGCGAUUGAAUGAGCCGAUGUCGGAUUAGCUAGUUGGCGGGGUAACGGCCCACCAAGGCGACGAUCCGUAGCUGGUCUGAGAGGAUGAUCAGCCACACUGGAACUGAGACACGGUCCAGACUCCUACGGGAGGCAGCAGUGGGGAAUAUUGCACAAUGGGCGCAAGCCUGAUCCAGCCAUACCGCGUGGGUGAAGAAGGCCUUCGGGUUGUAAAGCCCUUUUGUUGGGAAAGAAAAGCAGCAGGUUAAUACCCCGCUGUUCUGACGGUACCCAAAGAAUAAGCACCGGCUAACUUCGUG